UUCUUACUCCCUCCAUCCGAAAAUACUUGUCAUCAAAAUGGAUAAAGAGAUAUGUAUCUAGAACUAAAAUACAUCUAGAUGCAUCCCUUUUUAUCCAUUUUGAUGACAAGUAUUUCCGGACGGAGGGAGUAUUUG
rnacentral:pre_miRNA from 1 species